rnacentral:rRNA from 1 species
GGAAGCUUGCUUCCAGGCGUCGAGCGGCGGACGGGUGAGUAAUGCAUAGGAAUCUGCCCGGUAGUGGGGGAUAACCUGGGGAAACCCAGGCUAAUACCGCAUACGUCCUACGGGAGAAAGCAGGGGAUCUUCGGACCUUGCGCUAUCGGAUGAGCCUAUGUCGGAUUAGCUAGUUGGUGAGGUAAUGGCUCACCAAGGCCGCGAUCCGUAGCUGGUCUGAGAGGAUGAUCAGCCACAUCGGGACUGAGACACGGCCCGAACUCCUACGGGAGGCAGCAGUGGGGAAUAUUGGACAAUGGGCGAAAGCCUGAUCCAGCCAUGCCGCGUGUGUGAAGAAGGCCCUCGGGUUGUAAAGCACUUUCAGUGAGGAAGAACGCUUGCGGGUUAAUACCCCGCAGGGAAGACAUCACUCACAGAAGAAGCACCGGCUAACUCCGUGCCAGCAGCCGCGGUAAUACGGAGGGUGCGAGCGUUAAUCGGAAUUACUGGGCGUAAAGCGCGCGUAGGCGGCUUGAUAAGCCGGUUGU